rnacentral:lncRNA from 1 species
CAAAACAAAACCUAGAAUUGUUGCCUAAAUUCUCUAAACAAUAGUCUAAACCAGGGGUUUUCAAAGUGUGAGAGAGUGAGCCCCCCCUCAGAGAAAAAAAUUCAGCUGAGCCCCCCCCCCAAUUUUUUUUUCUAAAUACCUGUGUUUUGAAAGCUAUUUUAAUUAUUUUACACAUUUCAAACAUCUCCGAUCAUAAUUUUAAAACAUUUGUAACAUAUUUUUGAAACAUUUGAAACAAAUUUUUAACAUAUUUUUUAAACAUAUUUCUGAAACAUUACAACAUCUUUUUGGUUUUUAAACAACACAAUUUAACAACUUUAUCUAAGCAUGUUUUAGCUUAACCUUUUUUAAAUACAUUUGAACAUCUUAAUCUGUGUAAACUGCCAGUUUACCGAAUCAUUCAGGGUCCCCGACUCUGAAUUUUCUGAGUCGAAUCAGAUCUGCCUUUUCAGUCCAGAGAUUCGACUAUUCGGCGGGGUUUGUUUACCGGCGUUGCUAUGGUGACCUAAAUUAUUAUAGAGGGUUUUCACGGCGCGUCAUCAGCGCGUCAUCAAUCCGGCAGUCGCCAUGUUGGAGGUACUCGGCAAGGUAAAUAAACCGCACGCCAAGGUAAAUAAAGCGCACGCCGCAGCUUCGUGCUCGAAGCCCGAAUAUCUUCGUGGAAAAUGGUAAAUUAUUGCCUUGUUUUUGGCUGUACCAAUCGGUCAGACCGCGAAAAACAUUUGGAGUAUUACAGACUGCCAAAAGUUAUAACUAAUCAAGGAGAACAAUGCCAAAAGUUGUCAGAGGAAAGGAGGCGCUUGUGGUUAGCGAAGCUGAACCAGGAUCUACGUGGCAAAAAUCUGGACAACGUCCGAAUUUGUUCGGCCCAUUUCUUGUCAGGUACAAGGUCUGACCUUUAUCAAAAGGAUGACCCAGAUUGGGUGCCAUCUGUCGGAAUGACAGGUCAGCAAAGGUCUCCUGAAAAAGCUGGGACAUCAUCACGCUACAGCCGUCGUGGGAAUAGAACCCAGCAGAGACUGAGAGAAGCUGCUGCUGAUGCUGCUGCUGGUGCUGGAGUUGCUGCAGAGACUGAUGAUUCUGAGACUGAUGACCCUACUACAAGUGGUUAUAUCAGCAGCAAUUUGUGCAGCACAGAGACUCAAAGUGAAUUGACUGGUGAUUUAAUUGAGGCUAUGACCAGCAAACUUCAAAAUCUUAGAACUGAAAACAUCCAGUUGUGCUCUGAUGUUGCACAUUUGUCCACUACCUAUGACCAAAGUGCAUUUGUUGAUAAUGAUGAAAAGGUUUUAUUUUUCACUGGCCUACCUACAUACCUGGGGUCUCAUUUAUAAAACUGUGCGUGGGAUCGUUACUAAUAUGUGCGUACGCCUAGAAGCCAAGUUUUGCGUGCGCCAAAAAAUAUUCGGAUUUAUAAAACACUGCGUACGCACACCUGUACGCAAUCUUUGCUUUAUAAAUCACAUACUGACUAUAAUUGUGCGCAGCUGAAUCAGCUUCACGUUCCGCCCUCUACACGCCCCUUUUUAACCAUAAAUGGUCAAUGCAAAUGACCUCAUGAAUGCGAUCUGCAUAUAAAACAGACUCAGAUGCCGGUAUUAUGUCUUGUUGGAAACAAUGGCAGAAGUACUGAGAAAAUCAAAGCGAAAUUUCACGGAGGUUGAAGUGGAGACACUUGUGGGUGAGAUGGAGGCCCGAAAGGUAGUUUUGUUCGGCGGUCACGGGAUUGGAAUCGCCAACAACAAAAAGCAGAGUGAGUGGCAACAUGUUGCUGCAGCAGUGAACUCUGUCAGUAGCACGGAGCGCACAGUCCCAGAAUUAAAAAAGAAGUGGUCUGACAUAGAGUUACAUAUUUUUAUGUAGCCUACCAAUAAAUCGUUAUGGUCCCUAAAUACCCUCUCCCUCCGAAUCCUGCAUGGUCCGCCAGAAGUGCCACAUGGUGCAGCAUUACCACGGCGCUCACCUCUGUAUUUAUAGGGUUACGGUAAUAAGACUGACGAUAACGCCUUGGAUAAUCAGUUUGUAAUUACCCACGUAAAAGGUUCUUGAACAUAACCCCUUUUUAAUGCCUGAUUAGUCAUGAAAAGCAUCAAGAGUAACGGACAACGAUUGUGAUGAGUGUGGCUUGGUUUUUCACACUUGGGAUUUAAUUGACAUUUGAUCAUGUGUUUACAGUGUCACAUAAAAAUAUUAUGUUAUUGACACAUGUUGGACAGAUGCUUUAUUCCAUGCAGUCGCGCCGUCAGUGGACAGUAUGGAGUGACGGGAUUAAAUAUAGAGAAUUUCUUUUUAUUUUUAUUCUAAGGAGAUAUUUCUGGAGUUAUAACUGAGAAAUAACGCAGUGGACUUAAAUUAUACUGAUUAGGAUUUAACGCAUGAUACGGGUUGAAAUUAAAUUGAUGAAGGGCGAUGAUAAAACAUAAUCGUUCUUCUCACUCUGCAAUUCUUUGGUCUGACUUCAGUUCACCACCACACCAUCUGUGUCGCCAAUUCUCCUUUUCCUCCAAACCAUGCGUACGCAUGGGUCAGAGUUUGCUUAGGGCUGCGCACAUUUUCCCGUCAAGUUGGUUUUUUAUAGAUCACAACCUUGGCGUGAAAAGUCACGUACGCCAAUUUCAGCCCCGUUUUGUGCGUACGCAACGGUUAUAAAUGAGACCCCACAUACUGUUGGUACUCUUCACAUUCCUUAGUCCCCACCUCCCUGUGAAGAAGUCACUUGAUAAGUUUAAGCAGUUGAUGCUGACACUGAUGCGCCUUAGGCUUAAUGUUUCCACGACCUUCCUGUCAUAUGCAUUUAACAUAUCAAUAGCAACUGCUUCUAGGAUAGUCAAUGAUGUCAUUGAUGUCAUGUUUAUUCGUAUGAAACCACUUAUCAUAUGGCCAGAAAGAGAGCAUUUACAAAAAACUAUGCCAA